AGUACUCGAGUGGCGAACGGGUGAGUAACACGUGGGUGAUCUGCCCUGCACUUCGGGAUAAGCUUGGGAAACUGGGUCUAAUACCGGAUAGGAGCCAUCUUUAGUGUGGUGGUUGGAAAGUUUUUUCGGUGUAGGAUGAGCUCGCGGCCUAUCAGCUUGUUGGUGGGGUAAUGGCCUACCAAGGCGGCGACGGGUAGCCGGCCUGAGAGGGUGUACGGCCACAUUGGGACUGAGAUACGGCCCAG
rnacentral:rRNA from 1 species